rnacentral:rRNA from 1 species
GAUGAACUCUGGCGGCGUGCUUAACACAUGCAAGUCGAACGAGAAGUGAAGACGGAAACCUUCGGGCGGAAGGCUUUAUUUCGAGUGGCGGACGGGUGAGUAACGCGUGGGUAACCUGCCUCAUACAGGGGGAUAACAGUUGGAAACGACUGUUAAUACCGCAUAAGACCACAGCACCGCAUGGUGCGGGGGUAAAAACUCCGGUGGUAUGAGAUGGACCCGCGUUCGAUUAGCCAGUUGGCGGGGUAACGGCCCACCAAAGCGACGAUCGAUAGCCGAUCUGAGAGGAUGACCGGCCACAUUGGGACUGAGACACGGCCCAAACUCCUACGGGAGGCAGCAGUGGGGAAUAUUGCACAAUGGGGGAAACCCUGAUGCAGCGACGCCGCGUGAGUGAAGAAGUAUUUCGGUAUGUAAAGCUCUAUCAGCAGGGAAGAAAAUGACGGUACCUGAGUAAGAAGCCCCGGCUAACUACGUG